GAACGAACGCUGGCGGCAUGCCUAACACAUGCAAGUCGAACGAUUGCCUUCGGGUGAUAGUGGCGCACGGGUGCGUAACGCGUGGGAAUCUGCCCUUAGGUUCGGAAUAACAGCUGGAAACGGCUGCUAAUACCGGAUGAUAUCGCGAGAUCAAAGAUUUAUCGCCUGAGGAUGAGCCCGCGUUGGAUUAGGUAGUUGGUGGGGUAAAGGCCUACCAAGCCGACGAUCCAUAGCUGGUCUGAGAGGAUGAUCAGCCACACUGGGACUGAGACACGGCCCAGACUCCUACGGGAGGCAGCAGUGGGGAAUAUUGGACAAUGGGCGCAAGCCUGAUCCAGCAAUGCCGCGUGAGUGAUGAAGGCCCUAGGGUUGUAAAGCUCUUUUACCCGGGAAGAUAAUGACUGUACCGGGAGAAUAAGCCCCGGCUAACUCCGUG
rnacentral:rRNA from 1 species